rnacentral:ncRNA from 1 species
AAAAUGACGAUGAGAGGGAAUAGUACAGUUCAGUACCCGUUUCAGAGAACUGCCGGUUGGUGAAAGGCAGUAAUGGGAUAGAAUUGGAACUCUUCCUCGAGUAGCCGACCGAAAUUGAUUUAAAGUAGGCUCGGACGGAGCUUCCACCGUUAAAAGGAAGGGGAUAUCGGAUGACUCGAAGAUAGUUGUUCGAUGUUAGUAGUUCGAUCUAGGAUCUUUUUUUCGGUCGAACUACGUACAGCGAACCACGAAUAUCGAUAACUCCCGUAUCUGCAGAGAAGACGGCUAUUUGCUGUCAACUUGAGUGGUACCGCGAACUAACCCUUCGUCUCAAUU